GUCUUUUUGUAUUUAAUAUAAAGUCUAACCUGCCCAUUGAAAUAAUUUAAAAGGCUGCGGUAUAUUGACCGUACAAAGGUAGCAUAAUCAUUAGUUUUUUAAUUGAAAACUUGUAUGAAUGGUUGAAUGAGAAAUUAACUUUUUUUUAUAAAAUAUUGAAUUUUACUUUUUAGUUAAAAUGCUAAAAUAUAUUUAAAAGACGAGAAGACCCUAUAGAGUUUUAUAAUAUAUUUUUAUUAUUAUAAAGGUUUACUUAUAUUAUUAAAAAGAAAAUUAUUUUAUUGGGGUGAUAAUAAAAUUUAAUUAACUUUUAUUUAUAAUAAACAUUAAUAUAUGAAUAUUUGAUCCAAUUAUAUUGAUUAAAAAUUUAAAUUACCUUAGGGAUAACAGCGUAAUUUUUUUUUAAGUUCUUAUUAAUAAAAGAUUUUGCGACCUCGAUGUUGGAUUAAGAUUAAAUUUUAGGUGCAGGAGCUUAAAUUUUAAGUCUGUUCGACUUUUAAAUUCUU
rnacentral:rRNA from 1 species